GUAAACACCUGAAUUUAUUUACAUUAAAAUGAAUGCAAGAAAAAUCAUUCCUAUCAGAAGUGGCCAAUUAUUCAACAUAAUGAAAAUAAACCAAGCUGUCUGAGAAGCUAUGAAACAUACAAUCAUUUCAAUAAUUUUAUAUAUAAUUGUCUGAAACACCACCAACGGCUCCCUCAAUGCCACAUACAUAUAAUUAUUUGUAUUUAACAAAACUCUACAUAAGAAGCAAAGUCUCCUGUGUCCAUAGUUAUUUUUGUCUAAUGCAUAGAGAUACUGGAAAUGGGAGAACAAAAAGAAAAAAAGAUAUGCAGAGAUAUGCUCCCACUGAGAAGAUGCAAGUAACACAUGACAGGCAUUAUCUUCCAAUGGCAAAGAAAAAGGAAGAAUGGACACACAUGAAUACACUCUUUAGUAGAAGUACACACAAGCUGACAUACACACACACCCUUCCCCACACUACUCCAAAUAAUUUGCAUAUGUAUUAAUAAAUUCACAAGGUCACAUUCAUCUAAAAAUAUCAUUGUCUCUAGGUAAGGCCAAAUAAACAGGAUUUUGCAUUAGAACCUAUGUUGAAUAUAAAUGCUUCGCCCCCUUGAAGGAUGGGUUUAUAGCACUUAGGCAAUUUGUCUCAUAAAACCAGAUUUUCUUUUUAUCUGAUAUCCCCAGUGCAUGUGUAUUUGGAUUCAGAAUGAGAUCCCUAGGAAGACCCUGCCAUAGCAGAGAGCAAAGACAUGAACUUCAAAUACCCACAGACAUGAUACAAGGAUACCAACACGGCUGAACUUUGCUUUUUGUGACAUUGACUCAAGGCAUGUGACACAAAGACCUAACCCUCCACAGCACCUCAAGAUUAAAAAACAGUUUUGAAGCAAGAUAAAUACUUUAGUGUCUUUCUUUCUCCAGUUACUGAUAUUGGCUAUAUAUUUCCUGAAGCGUACGAAGAGCAGAGCAGAGACAGUCCAGGCAUGUUGAGGAGACAAGAGCAUAUCUAACUGGUCAGGUUGUUUUGCCAGCCUGUCCUAUCUAAGUCUAUCAGGUGUAGGGCCAUGCAAUGACAUGUCAGGUCCCAGGGGAAACGUAGACCGAGCCAGCUACAGUCAUUUAAAUAACACUGUGACUUCAGCCCUAAAACAACAAAGACGGCAAUGUGACUUAAAGUUAGCUUAUGCAAAGCACUUCUCUUAAAUAAGCCAGUGGUGAUAAGCUCUACAACUAUCUCUUAAAAUAUGCCAGUGGUGCUAAGCUAUAUACUUCUAUCAGUUCAAAGCUGCAGAGCUCAGGUGGAUACUAUGGUGUGGGAGAAUCCAUGAUGGAAUUUCAUUAAAUCAGCUGGCUCAUCUUGACACCAUAAUUCUUCAAAGUUCUCGGUGGCAAGCAAAGACGGCUACAGCACAUUCUGUUUAGGCAGAACCAUGGUGAGUUCUAAAGUGCCCUCUGACCUUCCCCUGCCCUUGCCUCUGGUGCCAGCUACUUGCUCACUGAUGUUCAGAUGAGGAUGGAGGAGGAUGAUGAGGGGUAUGAUUAGUGGCUAAAACAUGAUGUAUCUGGCCCAGGGGUGCUUGUGUAGGAUGGUGCUGCUGGUGAGAGAUGAGCAUUAGUCUUUGCUAUGCUAUGGAUUCCGCCAGUUUGCCAUCACUGUCAUCUUCCUUUAGGGAGUGUCCUUUGGAACCCCUAUCCUGCACGUCCUCUUCACUGAGGUGUCUCCGAUACAGAGGAGGGCUGUGGGAAGAGAGGGGAGUGGAUGAGAAGAAAAUAAUAAGAGGUUGUAUAUUGGAGAAAUACUGAUGAACUGAAAACUGUGCUUUUG
ensembl:lncRNA